rnacentral:rRNA from 1 species
CUACGGGGUGCAGCAGUGGGGAAUAUUGCACAAUGGGCGCAAGCCUGAUGCAGCCAUGCCGCGUGUAUGAAGAAGGCCUUCGGGUUGUAAAGUACUUUCAGCGGGGAGGAAGGGAGUAAAGUUAAUACCUUUGCUCAUUGACGUUACCCGCAGAAGAAGCACCGGCUAACAUCCGUGCCAGCAGCCGCGGUAAUACGGAGGGUGCAAGCGUUAAUCGGAAUUACUGUGCGUAAAGCGCACGCAGGCGGUUUGUUAAGUCAGAUGUGAAAUCCCCGGGCUCAACCUUGGAACUGCAUCUGAUACGGGCAAGCUUGAGUCUCGUAGAGGGGGGUAGAAUUCCAGGUGUAGCGGUGAAAUGCGUAGAGAUCUGGAGGAAUACCGGUGGCGAAGGCGGCCCCCUGGACGAAGACUGACGCUCAGGUGCGAAAGCGUGGGGAGCAAACAGGAUUAGAUACCCCAGUAGUC